GGGCCUGUAGUUUAAUGGGAGAAUGCCACAUUCGCAUUGUGGAGGUGUGGGUUCGAUUCCCACCGGGUCCA
rnacentral:tRNA from 1 species